UUUUAACGGAGAGUUUGAUUCUGGCUCAGAACGAACGCUGGCGGCGUGGAUAAGACAUGCAAGUCGAGCGGGAUUUCUUUUGGUAGCAAUACCGAAGGAAGUCUAGCGGCGAACGGGUGCUUAACACGUGGGCAACCUGCCAAGAAGUGGGG
rnacentral:rRNA from 1 species